rnacentral:rRNA from 1 species
GAUGAACGCUGGCGGCGUGCCUAAUACAUGCAAGUCGAGCGAACAGACGAGGAGCCUGCUCCUCUGACGUUAGCGGCGGACGGGUGAGUAACACGUGGAUAACCUACCUAUAAGACUGGGAUAACUUCGGGAAACCGGAGCUAAUACCGGAUAAUAUAUUGAACCGCAUGGUUCACUAGUGAAAGACGGUUUUGCUGUCACUUAUAGAUGGAUCCGCGCCGCAUUAGCUAGUUGGUAAGGUAACGGCUUACCAAGGCAACGAUGCGUAGCCGACCUGAGAGGGUGAUCCGCCACACUGGAACUGAGACACGGUCCAGACUCCUACGGGAGGCAGCAGUAGGGAAUCUUCCGGAAUGGGCGAAAGCUUGACGGAGCAACGCCGCGUGAGUGAUGAAGGUCUUCGGAUCGUAAAACUCUGUUAUUAGGGAAGAACAAAUGUGUAAGUAACUAUGCACGUCUUGACGGUACCUAAUCAGAAAGCCACGGCUAACUACGUG